GACGAACGCUGGCGGCGUGCUUAGCACAUGCAAGUCGAACGGAAAGGCCCUGCUUUUGUGGGGUGCUCGAGUGGCGAACGGGUGAGUAACACGUGAGUAACCUGCCCUUGACUUUGGGAUAACUUCAGGAAACUGGGGCUAAUACCGGAUAGGAGCUCCUGCUGCAUGGUGGGGGUUGGAAAGUUUCGGCGGUUGGGGAUGGACUCGCGGCUUAUCAGCUUGUUGGUGGGGUAGUGGCUUACCAAGGCUUUGACGGGUAGCCGGCCUGAGAGGGUGACCGGCCACAUUGGGACUGAGAUACGGCCCAGACUCCUACGGGAGGCAGCAGUGGGGAAUAUUACACAAUGGGCGGAAGCCUGAUGCAGCAACGCCGCGUGCGGGAUGACGGCCUUCGGGUUGUAAACCGCUUUCGCCUGUGACGAAGCGUGAGUGACGGUAAUGGGUAAAGAAGCACCGGCUAACUACGUG
rnacentral:rRNA from 1 species